rnacentral:snRNA from 1 species
AGGACGCCUGGAGCGUACCGA